UCGAAAUACAAAACUUCACACACGAUUUUGAGCACAACAGAGCGCUCAGUGAACAGCACUUCCGGGACCUGCAUCACCAGAGGGGGACAUCUAUCUUGGCCACAAACCAUCUUUGACAGUCUUCGGCAGCAUGGUUGAAUCAGGUGAGCAUAAAAUGGAGUUUAACGUAAUUAAAUAGACCAAUGUUUUUUAACAUAGGAAAAUAGUUCAUUGUAAACAACAGUUAAAUGUUUGUUGUUAUUAAUUGCAAUCAGAUUUGAUUUUAUGAGGUCAAAUUAAGCAUUUCUGUUCUGGGCCAAGGCCAAGGCAUUUAAAUUUUUUUUUUUAAAGUUGCAUGGAAGAUUAUAAGUAGCAGUGAUUGUCACACACUAGGUGUGGUGAAAUUAUUCUCUGCAUUUGACCCAUCACCCUUGAUCUAUGCUAGUAAACCUUUUCUUAAUUUUAAACAAGACAGACUAGAGUUCUUCAAAUUGUUUAUACUUUUUCUCAAAUACAAAUAUUUCAAGCUGAUAAGCACUGUGGAGUAGGCAUGUUACUGAUAUUGUUACAUUAGUUCUUUGUUUGAGAAGCUUCAUGUCUGCACUGAUCCUAAAUUUAACAGUUUUUGAAGGGUUUGGUUCUUUGUUUUAUUUCUGUGUCACUGACUUUUUUCAUUUUUAUGUGUGGAUUUGUUAGGCGCAUCAACACAUGAUAUAGACAUCGUGCCCAAAAGAAGAGCGAGACGUAAUCCUGAGGCUGAAGCUACCGAGUAUAUUUGAUCUGGAUGUGACAAGUCUUGUUUUAAGGCCCAGUGGAUCAAUGAUUGGAAAGACACCAACUGUUGAUGUUCUAUCUCAACAUUCUCCAGAUUCAUGUGACCGAUAAACCGACUUCAUCCCUCCAACAGACACCAACUGUUGGGGUUCUAUCUCAACAUUCUCCAGAUUCAGAUGUGAGCGAUAAACCGACUUCAUCCCUCCAACAGAAACCAACUGUUGAGGUUCCAUCUCAACAUUCUCCAGAUUCAGAUGUGAGCCAUUAACUGACUUCAUCCCUCCAACAG